AGAGCAGCAGGAAGAGGCAGGGCCAGGUGCAGGCCUGGGAACGCGCUGCUUGCAGCCCCAGCCCAAGGUCCUUCCAGGAGGCAGAGCUGGACUGCAGGACUGCAGAUAUUGCAGGCUACAGCUUAGCACCUGCAGAUCACCUGGGGAAAAAUCCACUCAUUAGCCACUCAUGAGGAGACAAUACCAAACUCGCUUCCAGAAACUUAACACAAACCAGGACUAGAAGGCCUGAACUUAAACAGCAUCCUCAACCCACAGGCAAGGUGGAAAAUCUUGAUCCAUAAUUACUUGGAUACAGUUUUUUUGAGAUUACCAUUUAAAGUGGGCAGAGACACAUGAUUUAUCUAAUCAGAAUGUCAGCCAGCAGGUGCUAAAAUGAAAUGAGACCUUGACUGCAUUUACAACUGACCUUGGAUUAUUUCAAGGCAAUAAGUGAGAUGGUGGACCAUAACUCUGCAUACUUCAGCAUGUUGAGGACUUGUUUGGAAGAAUAUCAUGGGAUAUGGACCUGGAGAGAAGAGUGGUCUGGAAGAGCUGGAUAUCAUUCAAAAAUCACUUCCUCCAAGUUAAAGAGCAGUCCAUCUUUAAAGCAUGAAUCAAGCAAAGUCAUCAGAUGGACCACAUGGAUGAACAAGGAGUUUCUAACUAAAAUCAAACAUAGAAAGACGCGUAGAAAUUGUAGAAGCAGUGUUACGUGAUCCAGGAGGAAUACAGAGCAUGCAAUGCAUGCGGGGAUGGUGUUAGCAAAAUGAAAGGCCACACCAUUGCAUGUGGCAAGAAAUGUGCAGGGCAACAAGAAAGACUUUUACAGGCGUGUAAGCAGAAGAAGGAAAAUUAGGGAAAAUUUUGGUUUGCUGCUGAAUGGGACAGGGGACUACCUGACAAACACAGUGAAAACCAAGGUAUUCAGUGCUGCCUUUGCCUCAGUCUUCACUGAUAAGAGCAGCCUCCAGGAAUUCCAGGUACCUGAAACCUGUAUAAAAUUCCAAGAAAGUCUUGCCCUCCAUGAAGUAGAAUUAGUUUAAGGAGCAUCUACACAGACUGGAUAUGCGUAGGUCUGUGGGUUCUGAUGGAAUGUACCAAGAGUGUUGAGGGAGCUUCCAGUGCCACUGUAAGGCCACUUUCAAUUGCGUUUGGAGGGCUGUAACUACUGGGAGAGAUUCCUGAUGACUGGGGAAAAGUCAAACAUCACUCUGGUCCUUAAGAAGGAGGGAAGGAACCCGAUAACCUUUAUGACAAGAAGACAGGCUCAGUGAACAAGGGCAGAUCUUGAGCUUAACAAGGCUUUCGGCACUGUUUUCAUUGACAAAAUCAUAAAGCACAUAAUAGAUGAGUACACAGUGAGUUCGAUUUGAAACUGGCUAAACUGUCUCAAAGGCUUGGGACGAGCAGCAGGAAGCCCAGCUACAGGCAGUGAUUUGUAGUAUAUCCCAGGACUGAAGACUAAGACAAGUCAUUAAAGAUUAAUACAAGUCAUUAAAGACUUGUACAAUGGGACAGGGCACACCCUCAACAACUUUGCAGAUGGUGCAAAACUGGCAGGAGACGUUGGUGUGAUAGCUCCUCAUGCUGCCACUCAAAGGGGCCUUGACAUGUUGUAGAAAUGGGCUGACAGGUCCUACAAACUUCAACAAAGAGAAUUUCAAGUACUGCACAUGGGGAGGAAUAGCCCUGUGGAGUAGCCAAAUUGAUCUGGGCAUCUUUCACUAAGACCAUAGCUACAGAAACCUAUCUCUCCAAAGAAAAUACAGCAUUACUAAAUAAAUUAAAUUUUUAAGCCACGAUUUGGAGAGAACAUCAGGUGUGGUAACUCAGACUCUACACAGGUUUGGUGGACUUCAUUUGCUCAUUGCUAGAUAUUUCAUAGUUUCUUGGGGGAAGCAUUAACAAAAAUAUUACUGGAGGAAAUGCUUUGCCUCCUAGUAGGCUUUGUACCAGUUAAUUCCUGAUGAGGAAAUCUGCAUGUGUGGUGUGUUGGCUGGAAGCCUUGCUGACCUUCAGCUCUUGCAGUAAUUCAAUGGCUCAAGAAAAUAUCUUGUGAUAUUUUUUUCAAUCUGUGUCUGUGUCCUCUGAAACCAAUUCCAGCCAUUGACACAAACAGAGAGCAAACUGUUAGCAAACAUCUACAUGUUUUUUGAAGAGGCACAUUUCUUUUGAGGUAAGUCUUACCCAAUAACUGGCAUGAGUCAGCACCAUGUCUUCUCUGAAAGACAUAAAAUUGCCCAAGAAUCAUAGAAUCAUAGAAUAGUUUAG